CUUAUUUAUAUGUUGUGUUUGUAUUGUUUUGUAAUUGUUUGUGUUACCGUGUGAUAUUAACUUUUCGUUUUGGGUCAUAAAUCAAACUUUUAAGAAUAGAUAUAUUUAAUAACUAAAGUGAAUGAGAUUGCUACAUCAUAGUACACAAAUGCAAUAAAAUGUAAUAUGGAACUAAUAUUUGUAUAACAGAUGUAUUAAAAUGUUGUGUAUUGUAAACAAUUGUUAUGUAUUCAUACUAACAGUUAAAUACUUAAGAAUAUUACAUUCUUUAUAAAAAAAUUGCAAUCUGUUGUAACUACACUUGCAUGCAUUAUUAGAUAUCUAAAUAUUAGGGCAGCAGCUGUAUCUGCGUUCUUCCGAUGUUAUGUCAAGUAUAUACCUCUACCUACAGCAGUAUUUUUAGCGUAACUGUGUUAUUUAAGAAUAAAUAAAGUUGUGUAAUUAUUUGUUGUUUUUUAUUUAAAUUCCUGAUCGUAAUCUAUUACAAGAAAAGUGUUAAUUGAAAAUUGUUGAUAUAAAUAAUAAAAGUUUGGGGCAGCGCGAUUGCUGAAUGGUUGAACGGAAAGUAAAUCUGCGUGUAUCGAAACGCAACUCGAUGACACUGGCAAGUCAGCUUGACGGAUGACGGGUAACAACAAAAAUAAACAGUGAAAAUAAAUAAACUUUCCGUUAUUACAGAGUUACUGUAAAGCUUCUGAGAGACUUUUGUGAUAAACCUAAUAGUGUGUAAGUGAAACUAUGUGUUAAUAUUAGUGUAUGUCACAUAACCUCAAAAUUUUACCGAGUUACAAAAGUUUAUGAAUUCGAUGUGUUGUUACAGUUUGAGUAAAUCCAUAAAUACUUUUAAAAUUUAAAUUAGUUCGUGUUCUCUUUUUGAAUUGACGGUGAGUUUCGUCCAGUUCCUAUUGCCAGGAUUCGUUUUAGAGCAUUUAUCUGAGAAUAUUGUCAAACCUAUGAAAGCAGAAUUCAAAGAGAAAUUGAAUAGACUUGUGGGACGCAAGAAAAGCAACAGUGCCUACCUAAUUGAUGCUGCAAGGUACCAGGACUUCAUAAGGGAGGUGAAAGAAAUUAAACACAAAUGGAGAAAGACUUUUGAAGACUAUAAAAUGCUUGCUAAUUAUGAUAUCCUGAUAGUCAAUGACCGAGAAAGGUUGAUACAACCUCGGAAUGAAUCAAACCCUACUAUUAAGUUCUAUGUACCAAUGGAUGAGUUAUUUGGUGUUUUACAUACUAUGCAUCUAUUGUUUAAGCAUGCAAAUAAAGAUUUAAUGGAUACUGAAAUAAAAUCAAAGUAUUGUAAUGUCUCCAAAGAAGUUAUUAAAUUGUAUUUAAGCUGUUGUACCAGGUGUAAAGAUAAGAAAUAAGUGCCUUUUGUACAAUAAAUUUUAAAUAAAUAUUGUAAAUGAUUGUUUUUUUUAGA